UUUAAAAUCAAAAGCUCUCCGUUCUCUUUCUCCAAAGCCUCCAUUGAUGGGCUUUGAAGCUCCAAGGAAAGAAGGUCAAAUUCUCCAAGUUUUUCAACCAAAAUUUCGUGGAUAGUACUUCAUUAAGGUGGAAGUAACUGAGGAUCUUAGAGUUGAAACUUUGGAAGUAAAAUUGUUCUCUCAAGGCCCUUGGUAGGUUCUCAUAUGUUCGAGGACUAGGAUGUUAUAUCUAGUUUCCUUUGUAUUAAAGACUUUGUAGUAGCCAUGAGUUUCUUUUCUAUUAAGGGUUGUAACCCUAUGAUAAUAAUAUAUGUCUAAGAUGGCUCGCGAUGAUGAGACUUAGUUCUUUUUACAUUUUACAAAAGAUAUUUUUAUUGACAUUAUUUUGAAAAGUUUUAAUUUAACACUAUUUUUUCAUA